GCUGGGCGUGGUGGCUCACGCCUGUAAUCCCAGCACUUAGGAGGCCGAGGUGGGUGGAUCAUUUGAGGUCAGGAGUUUGAGACCAGCCUGGCCAACAUGGUGAAAUCCCAUCUCCC
rnacentral:sRNA from 1 species